AGAGAAAGAUUGUUUGGUUGGUUUUUUCUGAGAUCUGAACAUCUAACAAUGAAACGCUCACUUUGACACCUAUACAGAUUUAAUAAUUCUAUCCCUUUGACGAUUUCACACCUUAUAUUCACACCACCUUUGUAUAUAUGUCUCCCCUUCGCUUUCUCUCUCCAUCUUUCUCUCUUUUCAUUUCUUUCUCGAUACUCAUUUAAUUCGCGGCCAAGCCUUCUUCUAUUUCUCGUCCUGAUCUGGGUUGGUCUAUGGAGGGGCAUCAUAUCAGUGUUCAUAUCGAUACGGGUGAUAGGUUUCCUCAAUGGAGUAUUCAGGAGACGAAGGAGUUUUUGAUGAUUCGGGCAGAGUUGGAUCGGACUUUCAUGGAGACCAAACGGAACAAGCUUCUGUGGGAAGUGAUUGCGAACAAGAUGAAGGAGAAGGGCUAUAAUCGAAGCGCGGAUCAGUGCAAGUGCAAGUGGAAGAAUCUGGUCACCAGAUACAAGGGUUGCGAAACGAUGGAGCCCGAAGCCAUGAGGCAACAAUUUCCGUUUUACAAUGAGUUGCAGGCGAUUUUCACAGCGAGGAUGCAAAGAAUGCUGUGGAUUGAGGCAGAAGGCGGGGCAAAGAAGAAAGGGGUGCAGCUAUCUUCGGAAGAUGAAGACGAGAACGAGGAAAGCGAAGGGGAGAAGGGAAGCAGCAAGAAGAAGAAAAAGGGCAAGACCAGUGUGAAUGUGGGUGGCAGCAGCAGCGGAGCUAGUUUCAAUUUGAAAGAAGUUUUGGAAGAUUUCAUGAAGCAGCAGGUGCAAAUGGAGGUGCAAUGGCGAGAAGUGUUCGAGGAGAGGGAAAAGGAGAGGAGAGCCAAGGAGAUGGAGUGGAGACAAACCAUGGAGGCAUUGGAAAACGAGAGGAUAAUGAUGGAUAGGAGGUGGAGGGAGAGGGAAGAGCAAAGGCGGAUGAGAGAAGACGCUAGGUCUGAGCGGAGAGACGCUCUUAUCACAGCACUUCUAAACAAGCUCAGAAGAGAAGAGAUGUAAUUCGUAUUGGGUCAGCUAGCUGUAGUUUCUUUUCUUGUAGUUCUUCUGGAGAAGAGGAAGCUUUGAGAGGUGACCCAGAAUCUGAUAUCUUUCAAAUUUGUCAUGAAAAAGAGCAUGAAGAUCUUGGAUAUAAUGUGGUGGGAAGAAAGAAUUUAAAGUUGGGUAUCUAAUUGAGGGUGUAAUCCACCAAAACUACUAGUGUCUCAGGUGAUGAUCAUGGAAAUAGAGAUGAUAUUGGGAGGAAAGAAAUGGUUGGUUUUAACUCAUUGUGAUCCACAGUGCCAUCCUCAAUGGCCUGUCCUUGCCAACAAUGGUUCUCAACUUCUUUUGUUAUAGACAUACACACACACACACACACCUAAAGCCCAUAUUUGUCCUAUUUAUAUGAUCCUUGUUCAGUGUUUUCAAUCAGCCAUGAAAUCCCUCUCAAGCCUAGAGUUUCUGUGUAACCUAAUGGAUGAUUGCAUGUCUCGAAGGUGGUGGACAUUUGCAGGGUAGGAGAAAGCACCAUACAUCUGGGUUCAUUUUGUCAAAGGGGAGAUGAUGAUUGUUCUGAAUCAAAGAUACCAUUUUAUGGCCUUCGGAUUCUAUAAUUGACAUUUUAGCUUUUACAGUAGGGCAAUUUCUCGAAUUUCCAUGGAGUCCUGGAUUAAUGUCAAACCAUGUGCAUGAAAAACUUUGCGCGUACUGGUCCAACAGCUGUGAUAUUCCGGAUGGUAACGUAGUUUCCUCGCAACAUAUUCUUGGUUAUGAAUUUGUACUCAAGACAGAGACUAGGAAUAUUGGCUCUCUUUUCGAGGAAAUUAAAAUUGAGUUUGCUGCCUUAAUUAGAUCAACAACUUCAUGACAACAUUUGUGGAUUUGUUGUUUCAUCCCAGGUAAAAAAAAAAACCUGACAGAUCAACAAUAUUCCUGAGUCCUAGCUAGGAUAUGAGAAUGGAUAUUGUUAAGCUCAUUUCCUUCUGCUGGAUGAUUAACUUAGAAAAGGCAUUGUGCUGAUCAUAUUUACAUUGGGUGUCAAAUAUUGAGGUAUCGAUACAACUAUCAUCUAUGGUAUGAUUAAUAAAUUCUAUAAUUACUAGUUCA